rnacentral:rRNA from 1 species
GAUGAACGCUGGCGGCGUGCCUAAUACAUGCAAGUCGAGCGAACGGACGAGAAGCUUGCUUCUCUGAUGUUAGCGGCGGACGGGUGAGUAACACGUGGAUAACCUACCUAUAAGACUGGGAUAACUUCGGGAAACCGGAGCUAAUACCGGAUAAUAUUUUGAACCGCAUGGUUCAAAAGUGAAAGACGGUCUUGCUGUCACUUAUAGAUGGAUCCGCGCUGCAUUAGCUAGUUGGUAAGGUAACGGCUUACCAAGGCAACGAUGCAUAGCCGACCUGAGAGGGUGAUCGGCCACACUGGACCUGAGACACGGUCCAGACUCCUACGGGGGGCAGCAGUAGGGAAUCUUCCGCAAUGGGCGAAAGCCUGCCGGAGCAACGCCGCGUGAGUGAUGAAGGUCUUCGGAUCGUAAAACUCUGUAUUAGGGAAGAACAUAUGUGUAAGUAACUGUGCACAUCUUGACGGUACCUAAUCAGAAAGCCACGGCUAACUACGUG